AUGCAGCGUCCCCGGGAGACCGCUGCUCCAGCCCGCGACCUGGCCCUUCUUGGGAAACGCGUCUCGGGCCGUCCAGUCGGGAUGAAGAAGGACGCCUUGUCCUCCGAGGAAGCUCUGAGGAUGCUGGCUUCCUUGGAUUGCUGGCUCGCUUGUGUCCAACGUGGACUUGAGCGGCUCUCAGCCCCUGGCUGUCAGAGGGGCCCGGGGCGUCGCUGGCCUCCCCGCAUCUGUGAGGGUGGUGACAGAGAGGCGGUGCGGCCGCGGGUGGAGGAAGAGAGGAGCCCAGAGGCUCAGCAGCUGUGCCCACCAGGGAUCGUGCGUCCCCAGCGUCCGGCCGCUGGUCUUUGCGGGAGGCAGUCGCUGUUCUCCAGAAGAGUCCCGCACUCUGCCAGCCGCAAAGUGAAGGGCUGGUCGGCGGGGUCUGGGAGUCGAACCGGUCCUGACGGCUCCUGGUUCUGGCAGUUUUGGAAGCUCCUGAGGGGUCACCCCUGAGAGUUGGGUUGGACUUCAGCUUCCUCGCUCGGCUUUGCUAAGUCGAUCACGACUCAUUCAUUUAUUCUCCAGCUUCUAAAAUUAUGCUGCUCCUUUCCCCUCUACCCUUUUCUUUCCUUCAUUAUUUCACGUUGCAAGAAGAGGGAGAAAAGGAAAGAGAUAGAAACAAAAAGGAAAACCUGUUUAGGGCAUUUCUGGGGCUGGGACACAGCGGUUGCAGGCACAGGACCCUACCCUGUGCCUCUCUCAUGGGUCACACAGCGCAACUUGAACGUCGCCCCUUCUGCGGGGUCCUCCCUGACCGCCCGAGGACAGCAGGUCCCCGUGGCCUUCUGUCGGGAGCACUAAGCUGCCUGAGAAGGGAACCCCGUCUCCUGGUCCACACCGCGUCCACCGAACCUGGGCCACGUGGGACGCCCCAUCACCGCUUUCGGAGCAACACGUGGAACAUCAAACGCGUUUCAUUCUGGUGAGCCGUGUACCUCGAGCAAAAGAUGCGCAAAGACGGAGCGGGCACGCAGAGGGCAAGGCGGAGUCUGCGUGCGGGUCUCGCCCAGGAUGAGCGCCAGGAGCUCACUGCACGGAGGAGGAGCAGAGCUGCGGGGAGCCGGGGAAGCCGAGUCCUUGACGGCGGCUGAAGGAGACCCGCCCCACCCGCGGGGAGCCAGGGGAGCGGGAGCACAGCAGGGCCUGCGGGCGCCCUGCCUCCUGCCUUGCUGCGAAGAGGAGAGCGGAGCGGGGAAAUAAACCAGUGCAGUAGCCAGGACGCUGGGAAGCGCGGCUCUGCGGCAGUUGUGCCAGGACAGGCGCGCUACCUGUGCAGCCCAAGCUGCCACGGCCCGUGUAGGUUCCAGGAACGCUCAUCCUCACCAACCGGGGACAUUUCAGGUGACGCUCGCAACGCUGGUGUGCUUUGGAGUUUUGUGUGACCUUUAUUAAAACAAAAACAAACAAGCAAAACAGUUGCAGGUGUUUACUGUGACAUGUUCAGAC
rnacentral:lncRNA from 1 species